UGGAUUUCUCUGGGAUCUGAGGCCAGACAUUGUCUGGAGAUGGGCUUCUUUUUGAUUUCUGGCAAGGACAGCCUGAGUCCUUGGCCGGCUGGUACUGCCUCUUAACUAGAAUGUUCCCAUGAGACUAGGUCUCCCUCCUGGAGCAGAGCUGUGCUCCUUGCCCACUGCUUAGAGGAAAAGCAGACGCAGCAGAUGAGCGCUACUGGAGCAAAUCUAGUCUUCGGAUUCAGGUCAGCAGUCCAACAUGGUUCUCACCAGGCAAAAAUCAACGUGUUACCAGGGUGCGAUUCUCUCUGAAGACUCCAGGAGAGUGACAUUUUCCUGACUUUUCCAGACUCCAGGGGCUGCUGCAUUCCUUGGUUUGAGGCCCUGUGUUCCCAUCUUCAAAGUCAGAGAGUUUGAAAAACAAACUAAAGAUCAGAAACAAUUGGUCUUGGAGUUCAACCUGACCAUGAUGGUUUAUGGAGGAAUCAGCAGAUGGAGAAAGUGCGAAAUGACCCAGGUGAAACUGCAGAGUAAAUCUGGACAGUGAGUUCCAGGGGACUGCACAGGCUGUUCUUCAUUGGUACCUGGAUCACUGAGCUGGCAGAUACCACAAACACUGCAGAAAUAUGACAGGGAAUUGGGAAGAUGUAAAGUAAGCCUCAGUUUCCCCCAAAAGGAAAGCUGAAAGCUGAUAAGAUGUCAUCCCUAGCAAAUUCCAGAGGCUCCACGGCACCAUCCUGCUGGAGAGAAUGAUUUCCUCUCUCUUUCCAUAUGGACUCUGCUUUCUUAAGAGUUCCAGUGGGAGUGAGAAUAUGGUACAUGACCGUUGGCAGGAGGAACAAGUGGCAGUGGUUCUUCAUGUCCUAGAAAUCCAACAACAUUGAAUCCGUUCCCCGCAUUUCCCUGAUGGACACUCUUGGUCUACACACAGGAACCGUUCAUUCAUCCUGCUCUCUGGAGAUGGUGCUUCUUAGAUUCUUAACAACAACAGGCUUAAAGAUAAAGAAAAUAGAACUUUGAAAAUAUAAAAUAAUGGUAACAUUGACAGACAUCUGGAGGAGGAGGAUGUAAGAUAAGUGUUAAAACACUGUUCCUUGGGGCUGGGGUUGUAGCUCAGCAGUAGAGCAUUUGCCUAGUACGUGUGAGGCCCUGGGUUCAGUCCUCAGCACCAUAUAAAAAUAAAUAAAUAAAAUAAAGAUAUU